UACGUAGGCAGCAAGCGUUGUUCGGAAUUACUGGGCGUAAAGAGUACGUAGGUGGUUUGCCAAGUCCGAUGUGAAAUCUCCUGGCUUAACUGGGAGGGUGCGUUAGGUACUGGCAGGCUUGAAUGUGGGAGAGGAGAGCGGAAUUCCUGGUGUAGCGGUGAAAUGCGUAGAUAUCAGGAGGAACACCAGCGGCGAAGGCGGCGCUCUGGGCUGGAACUGACGCUGAGGAGCGAAAGCGUGGGGAGCGAACCGG
rnacentral:rRNA from 1 species